rnacentral:lncRNA from 1 species
CCCCUUUUCUCAAAUCUAUAUCAGCAAAUUCAAUAUCUGACAAUAGACCCUGAAAAACCAAGAGACCAUAGGGAAAAAAAUCAAGAAUACCCACAUAUGUAAAAAUUACAAUUGACCCACGACACAUACAUUUGCAUGCGACAAUAGGGAAGAACAAAUAAAACCCCCAAAAACUGAGAAAUAUGAAUUGGUUAAAGUUAUAACGGAAUUUCAACACAGAAUUGAAAGAUCAUACCUGUGGAUGAAGCUUAUGAUUAACAGAGAAAUUGAAAGAAGAAAAUCAUCAUCAGCAUCACCACCAAGAUUAACCAAUAGGAGAAGGAUAGAGAAAAAAGAAUGAAGGGGCGGGCUGAAAAUUACAACGAAAUCCUUUGGUCCCAAGAAAUGACUGACCGUUGGAACCAACAGAAAUUCAGAUUCCUAGUUGUCUGCAUAAAACACGACAC